GACGAACGCUGGCGGCGUGCCUAAUACAUGCAAGUGGGACGCAAGGAAACACACCUGUGCUUGCACACCGUGUUUUCUUGAGUCGCGAACGGGUGAGUAACGCGUAGGUAACCUGCCUAUUAGCGGGGGAUAACUAUUGGAAACGAUAGCUAAUACCGCAUAAUAUUAAUUAUUGCAUGAUAAUUGAUUGAAAGAUGCAAGCACAUCACUAGUAGAUGGACCUGCGUUGUAUUAGCUAGUUGGUAAGGUAAGAGCUUACCAAGGCGACGAUACAUAGCCGACCUGAGAGGGUGAUCGGCCACACUGGGACUGAGACACGGCCCAGACUCCUACGGGAGGCAGCAGUAGGGAAUCUUCGGCAAUGGACGAAAGUCUGACCGAGCAACGCCGCGUGAGUGAAGAAGGUUUUCGGAUCGUAAAGCUCUGUUGUAAGUCAAGAACGUGUGUGAGAGUGGAAACG
rnacentral:rRNA from 1 species